UGGGGAAUCUUGCGCAAUGGGCGAAAGCCUGACGCAGCGACGCCGCGUGAGUGAUGAAGGCCUUAGGGUUGUAAAGCUCUGUGGAGUGGGACGAAUAAGCUACGGUUAAUACCCGUAGUGAUGACGGUACCUCUUUAGCAAGCACCGGCUAACUCUGUGCCAGCAGCCGCGGUAAGACAGAGGGUGCAAACGUUGUUCGGAAUUACUGGGCGUAAAGCGCGUGUAGGCUGUCAUGCAAGUCGGGUGUGAAAGCCCAGGGCUCAACCUUGGAAGUGCACUCGAAACUGCAAGACUUGAAUCUCGGAGAGGGUAGCGGAAUUCUGGGUGUAGAGGUGAAAUUCGUAGAUAUCCAGAGGAACACCGGUGGCGAAGGCGGCUACCUGGACGAGUAUUGACGCUGAGACGCGAAAGUGUGGGGAGCAAACAGGAUUAGAUACCCCCGUAGUCC
rnacentral:rRNA from 1 species